GACGAACGCUGGCGGCGUGCCUAAUACAUGCAAGUCGAGCGCAGGAAGCCGACGGAACCCUUCGGGGGGAAGUCGACGGAAUGAGCGGCGGACGGGUGAGUAACACGUAAAGAACCUGCCCUCAGGUCUGGGAUAACCACGAGAAAUCGGGGCUAAUACCGGAUGGGUCAUCGGACUGCAUGGUCCGAGGAUGAAAGGCGCUCCGGCGUCGCCUGGGGAUGGCUUUGCGGUGCAUUAGCUAGUUGGUGGGGUAAUGGCCGACCAAGGCGACGAUGCAUAGCCGACCUGAGAGGGUGAUCGGCCACACUGGGACUGAGACACGGCCCAGACUCCUACGGGAGGCAGCAGUAGGGAAUCUUCCACAAUGGACGAAAGUCUGAUGGAGCAACGCCGCGUGAACGAUGAAGGCCUUCGGGUCGUAAAGUUCUGUUGUAAGGGAAGAACAAGUGCCGCAGGCAAUGGCGGCACCUUGACGGUACCUUGCGAGAAAGCCACGGCUAACUACGUGCCAGCAGCCGCAGUAAAAC
rnacentral:rRNA from 1 species